rnacentral:rRNA from 1 species
AUUGAACGCUGGCGGCGUGCCUAACACAUGCAAGUCGAGCGGUAACAGGUGUAGCAAUACAUGCUGACGAGCGGCGAACGGGUGAGUAAUGCUUCGGAAUCUGCCCAUGUAGUGGGGAAUAACCAGCCGAAAGGUUGGCUAAUACCGCAUACGACCUACGGGUGAAAGCAGGGGAUCGCAAGACCUUGCGCUAUUGGAUGAGCCGAAGUCGGANAGCUUGUUGGUAGGGUAACGGCCUACCAAGGCGACGAUCCGUAGCUGGUCUGAGAGGACGACCAGCCACACUGGGACUGAGACACGGCCCAGACUCCUACGGGA